rnacentral:rRNA from 1 species
AACAGAUUUACUUCGGUAAUGACGUUAGGGAAGCGAGCGGCGGAUGGGUGAGUAACACGUGGGGAACCUGCCCCAUAGUCUGGGAUACCACUUGGAAACAGGUGCUAAUACCGGAUAAGAAAGCAGAUCGCAUGAUCAGCUUUUAAAAGGCGGCGUAAGCUGUCGCUAUGGGAUGGCCCCGCGGUGCAUUAGCUAGUUGGUAAGGUAAAGGCUUACCAAGGCGAUGAUGCAUAGCCGAGUUGAGAGACUGAUCGGCCACAUUGGGACUGAGACACGGCCCAAACUCCUACGGGAGGCAGCAGUAGGGAAUCUUCCACAAUGGACGCAAGUCUGAUGGAGCAACGCCGCGUGAGUGAAGAAGGUUUUCGGAUCGUAAAGCUCUGUUGUUGGUGAA